UGUAAGAUAGUAAUAAAUAAAUAGUUUGUGAGAUAUGAUAUAUUUUUGUAAAUAUUAUGUAUGAAUGAAGAUAAAGUAUAAGGAUAUAUCCUUAUCCUAAAAUGAAAACUGACAAAAAGACCACAUUAAUCAUAAACGGAGGUAGUAUUAAAAAAUUAACCAUAAAUAAGGUCUUUUCUUUAGAGAGAAAGAUACUGAAAAUAAUGUCACUAUAAGAAAGAUAGUGAAAAUGGUAUUUUAAAAAGAGUCAAUAUAUCCAAAUAUUCAUUCUCAUAUAGCAUUAAAAAAAUAUAUCUAUCAAUAUGAAAGUUUUAAAAAUUAAUCAUUUUUUGUGAAAAAAAUACAAAUAUACCCCUGUCAUGAAAUUAAAAGUUAUUCUUCGUAAGUUCCCGUCAAAUUUUGUAAAAAUUGUUCGCUAUUUAUAAUUUUCAUUAAGCCGCAAGUGCAUGUUGUAGUUGCAAUAAGUGAAAGGAAAAAGUCAUAUUCCACGUUGACAUAGAAAUUUAAAAUUUUACUUAAACGCUUUUCAACAUAUGAAAUUUGAUAAAAACAAAAAGAAUUUAUUUCUAUCUCUAACAAUGAAAGUAUUGGCUGUGAAUUCGAGUUUUAAGCUCAAAUUCACAGCUAAUUAUUUUUUUCACUCACAG
rnacentral:lncRNA from 1 species